CAGGAAGCACCAGUGUCACCACAUCGCCUGGCGGUCUCUGCCCGGAAUGCUCAAGACGGCAGCACCGGGCCCCAGUUAGGGCGGCGCAGGCACGGGUCCCGCGGGACGAUGCGGGCGCGUCCUGGGCAUCCACCAGCCUCGCUGAUGCUGGGGAGGAGUGGACGUCUCAUCCUCGGGGUCGUGGCUGCAUUUGGCUGAGGACGGGCCACAUGCAAUCCGGCCCUUAAGGCAACUCGGGAAUCACAAGGUGCGAAUUAACAGGGCGCAGCAGAGCCCAUUUUCCUAUGGCAACGACUCCACCAAUCGCCAGCUGCACGCCGCGCAUGCGCUUGAGUCAGGACCCACGAGGUCCCUCUGGUGCAGCCGCCCUGAGCUCAGCCCUGGAGCACACAAGGGGUCGCCGCCGGGCUCCUGUGUGAGCAGGAGAAGCUGACCUCUGUGUGGAGCGGUGGCAGGAGGAAGAAGUGGGGACUCUGUUCCCCACAGCGGAGAUCUCAAAGGAGGCGACCCCGGCCAAUGACACGGGCCACAGAGGCUGGACGUUGCCCGCUCAUCAUGCAGGCGACACCACAACGGAAGACAAGGGCAGAGCGGAGUACAGCCUCUGCAGCACCAGCAACCAGGACAGCCAGACCUCUGCCCACCACCCUUCCCGCCUCUCACAACACUCCGAGUUUCCAAGUUUCCACCUCCAGAGUCAGGCGCUACUGUUGGAAGCUUCCUGCAGACAAGCAGGCAGAGGCAAAGUGUGUGAAGGCUCCUCGUCCCGCCCGUCUCUGUUCACAGCAUCUUGCUCCUGAAGUCCAUAGUGAUGGCAUGGUGGCGGGCCGACGUAAACCUCUCAGGUCACCUCUAUCCACAGUGCUGAUGCCCGGUCGCCUGUCUGAAAGUGAACAGCAUGCAGUGAAAGCCGGAAGCCUUCUGGCUCUGCAGCCUCAGCUGCUGCCUCACCAGUUUCCCACCACCCUGGUGAGGGCCUGACUCCACCCCUCAGCUCCUCAGGUGACCUGGGCUCAUCCACCGCAGCUCCAUAGCUUCCAUCCUGCUGAGUCGAGAGCGCUGUGAUCCUUCCUGUUUACAGAACUUCCAGGGCUUCCCCUUGACACUGGUUCCAGCUUCCUGGUGGCCGUGGCCUAGCCCGUGGGCCUUGCAGCUGAAACCCUGCUCUCCCUGGAGUGGCUCUCCCUUCCCUGACUGAUCUCUGAGAUCCAGAUCUCACAAACCAGCCCUGGGCUCCAGAAUAGCGCAGGAACCUGAGCUCCGACCUCCCGGAUCCAUCCCAGACACUGAGGCGACCGAUGUGCUUGCAUUUGGGAGCCCAUUGUGGAAGGUCUCAAACAUCUCCGGCUUCACAAGGGAGUUCUUGGUCUUCCAGGAGAAAGUCCUUCCCUACACCUCCUUUAACCAGUGCCAAGUGCUCAAACCUGACUUAGGGUGGAAGAAAGUGUUAAAAUAUUUAAUAAAACAGAGUUUCUCCUCUUGGAAG
rnacentral:lncRNA from 1 species